rnacentral:rRNA from 1 species
AGUGAACGCUGGCGGUAGGCCUAACACAUGCAAGUCGAACGGCAGCACAGUAAGAGCUUGCUCUUACGGGUGGCGAGUGGCGGACGUGUGAGGAAUACAUCGGAAUCUACUUUUUCGUAGGGGAUAACGUAGGGAAACUUACGCUAAUACCGCAUACGACCUACGGGUGAAAGCAUGGGAUCUUCGGACCUUGCGCGAUUGAAUGAGCCGAUGUCGGAUUAGCUAGUUGGCGGGGUAAAGGCCCACCAAGGCGACGAUCCGUAGCUGGUCUGAGAGGAAGAUCAGCCACACUGGAACUGAGACACGGUCCAGACUCCUACGGGAGGCAGCAGUGGGGAAUAUUGGACAAUGGGCGCAAGCCUGAUCCAGCCAUACCGCGUGGGUGAAGAAGGCCUUCGGGUUGUAAAGCCCUUUUGUUGGGAAAGAAAAGCAGCAGGUUAAUACCCCGCUGUUCUGACGGUACCCAAAGAAUAAGCACCGGCUAACUUCGUG